GAGACAUGAAAUUCAAAAAUAAGCUUCUAACUUAACUUUUAAGCAGUGUAAUUCUGUUUAUGUCUCU
rnacentral:tRNA from 1 species